ACGUGUUUAGGGUCUCCUGGCGCCUGCCACCUCCCUGAGCCCCACCCCUCCCGCCCCUGCAGACGGAGCCUUCCCCGUGGGGCACCAAUGAGCUGCCCGGCCGCUCUGGGCGCUCGGGGGCCGACCCGGGCAGGCGCGGGACUUGGGCUGCGCGGAUAAUUGGGAGCGAUGAGGUCCUGAGAUGCGUCCGUUCCAACCGAGGGGGGCGCCCGGGAGCUGAGAAAGGCGUAUGAGACCGUGCGCCCGCGUGGAGCUUGAGAGAGUGUUGGAGAGAGGAGUUGCAGAGGGAAGCAGAGCUGAAGGAAUUACCAGGCGUUUGUGAUUUUCUUGCUGCUGUCCAUGGAGUUGCAAAGAGUCAGAAGUGACUGAGCGACUGAACUGAGGAUACUGAAGAUUCACUUCGAGGAGAAAGUGGCCUGUGGCUCUGAAAGUGUGUGAGAUUUCCAGACAUAUUCAACACCAUCCAGACAGUGCCAAAGUGUGUCAUGCACACAGCUCCUGAUCAUUUAGGGGUUUAAAAAAAUUCCUGUUGAGGGAGAAAUUAGCUACCUUGUGGUUAAUGGUCCACCUGGGUUGGCCUUCUUUCUGCCUGAUGUCUCACACUCAGUCUCAGUCCUGACACUGCAAGUUAAUCAGGGGUGACUCCACACUGGAAUCUUCAGCCCUGACCUCUUCUCUUGUUUCUCCGACGGCUUCCUUGACCUCUCCAUGUGGAUGUUUGAUGGGCAUCGCUCCCUGAGCACGUGCAGAACCAGAUUCCUGGCGGUCCUCAUCGCCUCAUCCCGACCUGCACCUGUGUUGGCAUCCCAUCUGGGUAUCUCACGCCUGAGACUCCAUCCUCAUGGUCACUCAGAAAGAAGCAAAGACUCCCAGCAAACAAGCCAUAGCCUCCUCCACGAAAUACAAAACCCCAGAUCAACAAUUUUGACUACUUGACUGUCCUCUUCCUCAAGCCUUGAUAGAGCCCUGUCAAUGAGGCCCUUCUUCCCGAUGGCUCUAUAACCGCCCACUUGGAACCAUGGGCUCUGGCCUCAGGAUGGGAGUUGAUGUCAUGGCUAUUGAGGUAUAUUUUUCUGCUUCUCCUCCUAUCCCCUCCAGUUUGUUCUCAACCCCAGAGCUUGGGUGAACCUUUUAAAACCCGGCUUCCCCGGUGGGUCAAAGGGUAAAGAAUCUACCUGCAAUACAGGACACCUGGAUUCUGUCCUUGGGUCUAGCAGAUCCCCUGGAGAAGGGAAUGGCAACCUACUCCCAGUGUUUUUGCUCGGAGAAUCUCAUGAACUGAGGACCCUGGUGGGCCCCAGUGUGUAGAGUCGCAAAGUCGGACAUGACUGAGCAACUUGCAAUUUCUCUUUAAAACCUGAGUUAGAACAUGUAUUUCCUCUGUCGAAAACCCUCCUGUGACAUGACUGAUGUGUUGUGAACGCAGUUGAAAUACCUGAAGUUAAUCUGUGUUGAUCACUUACCACGAAGGCCCAGCCUGUGCUGAAGUAUGCUGCCUGUUCUCAUUUCAUCCUGACCUCAGUCUCUCAUUGUCACCACUAUCUUAUAUGUAAUAAAACUGAGCUAAAACAGGUUGAAACAACUCUCUGAAGAUCACUCUGAGAGGGAGUUGGCAGAGCUUGUUUUAUACUGAAGCAGUCAGGUUCAGAGCAGGGACAGUAAAAAAAUCUCAGUGUUUCUGUCCUUCCUUUUUUAUCUUCUUCUUUCACAUACUAUGGUUGUUAUAAACAAGGCCUAUCUGAUAAUCCAUUUCUAUCAAUGAAGAAAGACAGCAAAGACAUAUAUUUUGAAGUGUAACUUUGUGAUGAAGAUUCUUAGCAUCCUAUUUAUUUAUGAAGUCCUUGGCAGCAUCUUGGACUCAAGAUUCCUGGUAUUUCUCUGGACACCGAUGACAUCAGUGCUUUUUUGGUCUUGCUAAGUUACUACUGCUGGUUCUAACACUCACCUUGCACUUUAGUUCUCAUCAGAAUCCUAGUAUUAAGUCUGACUUUUCCACAGUCACUAUAUAUAUUUGUGUGUAUAUAUAUAUUUUUUUUCUUUUUUUUUUUUGGCUGCGCUGUGUGGCUUAAGGGAUCUUCAGCAGUGACGGUGCACUGGACAGCUGGGAAACUCCUUCCCAUCCCAGUGUUUUUAAAGUCAUUGUUCAUUAAGGUGAGAUGUGAGCGUAUAUGUGAUGAAUGCUGUUCUCAAAAGAAUUCAUGAAUAAAUUCCAUUUUCUCAUGAGAACUAGCAGGAACUAAAAGAAAUGCAAUUGUAGAUAAAGAACAAUUUUAGUUCAAUUGGGUAGUAUAGUGUUACUGUAUUUUAUCAGACUAACAAUGAUGGUUGGAAUAAAAAUCAUUAUAACUUCACUAUUGGCAUAUAAUGAAAAACAUUGCUAAAAAUGUAUCAGCAACUCAUUUUUUAAAAUUUGUUUUUAAUUGGAGAAUAAUUGCUUUACAGUGUUGGGUUGGUUUCUGCCACGCAUCAAUAUGAAUCAGUCAUAGGCCUGUGUCCCCUCCUUCUUGAAUGUCCCUCCUUCCCCCCUCCCACCCCAUCCUAUCCCUAUGGUUUGUCACAGAGCACCUAUUUACAAAUAGGUUCAUCAGUACCAUUUUUCUAGAUUCUAUAUAUAUAUGCACUGGUAUACAGUAUUUGUUUUUAGAGACUCAUGUUUUUGUAGGUGAAAAAUUUUUAAUCACAUCCAAAUCUUCCAUGAAAUUUAAGAAAAUAUAAAUAUCAUCCUCUACCCAGUCCUAACAUAUUUCUUUUUUUCCAAUAUCUACUAACAUAGCCAUGUCUAAAUGAUCGUCAAAAGGAAACUGAUAAUGCAGAGUGAGACAGACUCACCUGCCAAGAGCUAAGUCACUCACAUGUUCUUCAGUCCCUAUGGUUUUAGAAACAUAAAAUUCUGCAUAAGUGAUUAAUAUUUCUAUUUAAAUUGUAAUAAUAACACAUCAUGAAUUUAUUGAAUUGAGUACAAUGUAAAAUUGGCAUGAUUAUCCAUCCAAAUAUACUUUUAAAACUUAAUUUUCUUUAGUCUUACCAUGCAGGCUUAUCAACUCAUGAAGCGUGAUCAUUGGUGCUCAAUUAUAUUAUCAAAGUAAUAAAAAGUAAAAGCUUGUCUUAAGGAAUUAUUUUGAAAUUGAGAUUUACUCUUGGAAAAAUAUGUUAACCCACCAUUUAUUAUAUUAUCAAAUUAUCCUAACAUAGUUAAAAGCACAUUGAUGAUUUUUUUCCAUAGGGAUCAGUCUUUUUUACAUUUAUUUCCCAUUUAUAUUACUUUACUCUCUUGUACUGAUGUAGGCUUGAUAAUCAUUUUAAUAUUGUUCUGUAUAUUUAAUGGUACAUAGACUUGGAUCACUAGUGUAAUGAUCAAAUGAGCUUUAGGGACAUAAAGGCUUAGGUUUAAUGACAGACCUCAUACUUAACUAGUUGUGUUAGGUUUGUUUCUUUUUGUCCAGUUACUGAAUAUUCCUGAGCCUGCUCUUUACAGCUUCAUGUAUGAAAAGCAUACUGUCUGACACAUACCUGCUAUUUUUUUUCUGGGUUUAUCGAGUCUCAUCAUGGGCUAAAAUAAACUUACCGAGAUGAAGGCUGGACUGCCCCUACAUUCUGUGGUUUUUUGCAUUCCAUCAUAUCACAGUAGCUAACUCCAUAGAAGGGCCACAUUAAUAUCUUUCUUCCUAUUUCUCUCCUAUUUGGAAAGCAAUAUUUAUCAUUACUUCUCUCUUUGGCAGAUUUGUGUCCUGAGCCUUAUGUGCAUUUGAGAAGAGUCAUAACCAAUCAACUCAUUUGCUUUACUCACAAUUACUGCUUAGUCUAUUUUAAUGAUUAAAAGUGUUCCCCAUGAAAAAUGAACACUUAUAUUCUAGGAAUGAGAGGAGAAGUCUAUGAAAUCUUGUCCUUUCCCUGUGUAGAAAUGUAUCUGUAUUUAACUUCUAUUUUGUUCUUUUUAGCCAUUCAAGAAGGAUGGUGGUGAUGCGGUGACAUAAAUAACUUUUGUCUGGAAUGUUUUUAUUUAUUGAAAGGCAGGUGUGGAGCAGCUACCAGAAGAAACAGCUUCUGGUGAGAAAGAUGUCUGGUGUCUUUUCUCCCAUUCCCCACCACCAUUUUCAGUUGCAUUUACAACAAAGCUUCAGGCUACUUAGCCCCAAAAUGGGAUCACACCAUGAAAUGAAGUGAGAAGGGGUGUGAUGGACUUGAUCGAUCAAAUUAAGGCAGCCACGGAAGCUACUUGCACCUGACGUCUGUCUCUGCUCUGGACAUGGAUGCCCAUAAGCACCUGUUGGACUUGUGUUGACCUCCUAGACACUAUCUGACCUCACCUCUCACCUCCAUAUGCAGAAAACUCAGGUCUUUUGUGCCUCUGUAGAGGAAUGUAGUUAUCAGUUUGUCUUGAAAACUGACAGAUCAAAAGAAGGAAGAUUUUAAAUCACCACUAGGUGAGUGAGUGAGUGAGUGUUAGUCGCUCAGUCCUGACCAACUCUUUGCAACCCCGUGGAAUUCCUCUGUGUGGAAUUCUCUAGGCAAGAAUACUAGAGUGGGUUACCAUUCUCUUCUCCAGAGGAUCUUCCCAACCCAAGGAUCAAACCUCUGUCUCCUGGAUUGCAGGUGGAUUUUUUACCACCAGGGAAACCCCACUACUAGGUACUCACUACAAAAACAGUUGUUUCUAGCAAGGUCUGCUGAUGGGUGCUAAAUGGAUUAGAUGAAAGUUGGAGGAAAAGUAGGAUUUUUGCAUAGUCUCAAAGCACCCCCCAGCCCCUGCCGCCAAGGUAAUUAUCAAUUGUGAGGGAAAACAUAGUCACUUUAUAGUGGAGAAACCCAGAAGAUAGCACUUUAACCAAAUGAUGAAUACUAACAUCACCAGUAAUAACAUAUCUGUGUCAUGUUUUCCAGGAGGAUGGUAAUGGGACAUAUUAAAAUCCCAUUUGUGGAAGCAGGGAAUGUGCCUUGCGUUACUUUGAGGUUCAUGACUGUCUUCAUCAGCUUGGGAAUCCCAUGGGCUGGAUGGAUGAAACCAUACAAAUGAAUUUUCUCACAGUUCUGGGGACUGGAAGUCCCAGAUCAAUCAAGAGUCCUGGCCUCUUUGUCGGGCUUACUGGUACACAGUAUGACAAUCUCUAGUUUCAUCCAUGUUGCUGCAGAUGACAUUAUUUUAGUCUUUUUUUUUUUCCAUUUAUUUUUAUUAGUUGGAGGCUAAUUACUUUACAGUAUUGUAGUGGUUUUUGUCAUACGUAGACAUGAAUCAGCCAAGGAGUUGCAUGUAUUCCCCAUCCCGACCCCCUUCCCACCUCCCUCUCUACCCGAUCCCUCUGGGUCUUCCCAGUGCACCAGGCCUGAGCACUUGUCUCAUGCAUCCAACUGGGCUGGUGAUCUGUUUCACCCUAGAUAAUGUACAUGUUUUAUGGCUGAGUAGGAUUCCACUGUAUAUAUAUAUACCACAUCUUCUUUAUCCCUUUCCCUGUCGAUGUGCAUUUAGGUUGCUCCCAUGGACUGGCUAUUGUGAAUAGCACUGCAAUAAAGCUGUUAAUCCUAUCAGGUCAGGGCUGUAUCCUGUGACUACUACCUAAUUAAAGGUAACUUUAUUACCUCUGCAGAGGCCCAGCACUCAGAUAUGAUCACGUAGAGAGCUGGGGCUUCAAGGUAUGACUUUGAGGGACAUAGACAUUCAAUCUAUAACAUUCCACCCCUAGAUACCCCAAGUUCAUGUCUUUCUCUCAUACGAAAUACUUUCAUUCCAUCCCAACAGUCUCAAAAGUCUUCACCUGGACCAGAACCAGCUCUAAAGUCUGAAAUCCCAUCUGUGAAUCACCUGAGUCAGACAUGGGUAAGAGUCACAAAGCAUGGUUCAUCCUGAGGCAAAUUCCUCACCAGCUGGAAACCUACCUCUUUCUGAUAGAUACACUAAAGUGGCCGCAUCUCAAGUGUUUCCUUGGAGAGGCUGCGAAUUUUCCCAACUUCCAAAUCUUCCUUUUUGCCUAACAGCUCUUUCUUUGGUUCCUCUCUCCUCUCACAUUUUGUUAUCAGCAGUCAGAAGGAUCCAAGCCACACCCUCAAUACUUUUCUUAGAAAUUUCUUCUGCUGAAUAUCUAGCCUCAUCAAUCACAAUUUCUACCUUUUCACAAAACACUAGACCAUAGCUUACCAUGUUCUUUGCCACUUUAUAACAAGAACUCUUUCCCCAAUUUCCAAUAACCUGUAUCUCAUUUCUGUCUGAGCCCCCAACAAAGUGGCCUUUAACUUCCAUAUUUCUGCCAAUAUUCUGUUAUUGAUGAUUUAUGUAUCCCCUAAGAAGAUGAAAGGGCUUCCCUGGUGGCUCAGAUGGUAAAUCUGCCUAUAAUGCAGAUGACCCAGGUUCAAUCCCUGGGUCAGGAAGAUCCCCUGAAGAAGGGAAUGACAACCCACUCCAGUAUUCUUGCCUGGAGAAUCCCAUGGACAGAGGAGCCUGGGAUCCUACAGUCCAUGGGAUCGCAAAGAGCUAGACAUGACUGAGAGACUAAUGCUUUCACUUUAAGAAGAAAGCUUUCCUUCUAACUCUCCUCUUAUCUUCCUGAGCUUCCAUCAGAAUUGCCAUUAAUACCUGCAGUUGUAACAGUGACCCAUUGAUGGCCACCGUGAACUUCUCUGGCCUGCACCCAAAAAUUAUGCUAGCUGCUACCCAUCACCCAGGUCCAAAGCUGCUUCCGCAUAUUUUGGUAUUUGUUACACUAGCACCUAAUUCUGGGCUCUGAAAUCUGUCUUAUCUUUUAUUUCCCUCUGUAAAGACCCUGUCUGCAAAUAGUCUCAUUUGGGACUGGGAGCUUAAACAGAUGAGUUUUAGCGGGGCACAGCUUUCAGUCCCUACGAGUGGACCAUAUUAAUGCUGAGAAAGCUGAGUGAGUCAGUUUCCGAGAGGAGGAGGGAUGCUGUUGAGAUUCAAGCAGAAUCCACAGUGAGGGCUUGCAGAGCUCUGUUGAGACUUAAGAUUUGUUUAUUGUCAGAAUAGCCAGAAGGGUUUCUCAUAGUUUUGUUACCAGCAUUUAGAUAAAGUCCCAGUAACUGGGAUUAGUCAGUUGGUCUUGAACCUUGGGGCCAAACCACAUAUCUUUGUGUUCCUGAGUUUUAUUUUCUUGAGAGAAAAGAUAAUGACAGUGAACACGUGUUUAUUCAUCACUUUAAAAUUGGCUGCCUCUUGGGUUUAAAUUUUUUAAUAUUAUUUACUCAAGAAAUAGCAUCAAUUUUAUUCAAUAUAUAGUAUUUCCCCCUUAAUACAUAGCAAAGUGUAUUAGGAUUAUCAAAGUAACCAUGACAACCGGCUUCUUUACAAUCCAGUUCGUGAUGGCAGAGCACAGAAGCACGCAGAUCCUUAGCAGGAAAUAUUUCUUUGUGGCGAUAUAUAAAUAUACAGAUAGAGAUAUACAGAGGCAUAUACAUUCUAAAAAGUGUUAGCAUAUGUAUAUACACAUAUAUAGUAAUGUUUUUUAACAGAAGAUAGACAAAAGAUUUCCUAUGAAUGUAUCACAGGUUUUGUCACAAAUCAGCAGCCUAGUGUUUUUAGAAAUAAAAGGCAUAAGAGGUUUGUGUCGGAAGCCCUGCAUCCUAGGUCAGUCUUUGGCACUGCAAGGCUGCCCAGCCAACCAUCUGACGACUGCCUGGGUCUUCAGUUUCCUCAUCUGAGAAGCACAGUAGUCGUUUGUCAGAGCUGGAAGAGUUUGGCCAAAAAAGGACUUUGUAAGCACUACAUUUAUUCCCCUCACUAUAUCACUUCAGUAAGGGUGGUUAUUCUCUAAUAUUUAUCACUUUUAUGUCUCAUAAUGAAGGCUGAAAGUCUUAGGAACUGUUACCAGUAUUACCGUUAAAAAAGUCAUAGAAGUGAGGAAAAGCACUUGUGAAAAGGUGCAGUGACUUGCAGAUACUGUGUAGGAAGGAGAAGCAAGUGGAUAAUCCCAUCCUUGUCUCCAAGCCGCCCUGAAGACUCCUCCAGAGCGUGGGUAAUGGUGAGCAGAAUGGGGGAGUCGGGCGUGAGCUAGUGAGGCAGAUACAAGGAGACAGCCUUGCCACAGUGAGGGUCGGUCGCUGCAGGGUAGAGCUGACUUCCCUCUGGGAGGCUGCGGACCCCACCUGUGGCAGCUUGCUUCCCUGGCCGGGGACCCUCGAUCUCGCCCUGGAGUCAGGGACCUGGCUCCCCAGACCUGGGGCUCCCUCUGGGCUUGGGGUUCUGUGCCUCUCUCUGAAUCUCUGCCACUAGGCGCCUUCUGAUUUUCCUGGUGAAGACUGUUGACCUACAGAAAAGCAAACCAACCUGGAAAGUCACACAUGGAAUACACAACCCAGCAAGUGCAUUCCUCUCCUGGAAAAGUCAAGCGUUCCAUUUUUCUUUUAAAAUACUGGAAAGAAUGUGCUCAAUGAUUACAGUAAGUGGUAAA